rnacentral:rRNA from 1 species
CUGGCUCAGAACGAACGCUGGCGGCAUGGAUUAGGCAUGCAAGUCGAACGAAGCAGCAAUGCUUAGUGGCGCAAGGGUGAGGAACACGUGAGUGACUUACCCGCAAGUUUGGAACAGCUCCUGGAAACGGGAAUUAAUACCGGAUGUGAUCAUAGGUCUGCAUGGAUUUAUGAUUAAAGCAGCAAUGCGCUUGCGGAUGGGCUCGCGUCCCAUUAGCUAGUUGGUGAGGUAACGGCCCACCGAGGCGAUGAUGGGUAGCUGGUCUGGGAGGACGACCAGCCACACUGGGACUGAGAACUGCCCAGACUCCCACGGGAGGCUGCAGUCGAGAAUUUUGGGCAAUGGACGAAAGUCUGACCCAGCAAAUGCCGCGUGCGGGAUGAAGGUCUUCGGAUUGUAAACCGCUGUUUGGAGGGACGAAGCAUGACGGUACCUCCAGAGAAAGCCACGGCUAACUACGUGCCAGCAGCAGC